rnacentral:misc_RNA from 1 species
UCUUAUCUUACAGACGACAAAGAUUUGUUUACAUCAAUGUUUCAAAUUGGAAGGUGAGAAAAUUAAAAACUCUCAGAUGCUGAUGCCUGAUGGGCUUAUAUUAGCCUAUUCCGACAUCCUUGAUGGCGUCAUUGGAGCAACACCUCUCUUCCUGUUAUUCCGAAGGAUUUCGUACCUUUUCACCGCGAGUCAACAAGAAUCAAACCCAGCACCCAGGCGUUAAAGGUAUUGACAGUGAUGCCUCACGAUGGGCAGGCCUCGAUUGCAGUAUUCAAGUGGCAGUGGUUAAUUUAGCUAAUACUAAGUCAGGAAGUCAGCAACCAAGUUUAAUGGGUAGAACGCGACUAGACAGAGAAAAAGAAGAAAGAAAGUACGAAGUUAAAAGAAGAAAGUUAAAAAGAGCAUGUGAAACGCAAGAGACGCCGUUGGGAUGUCAGUUCGAGCAGCCGAGAUGAAUGACAUGUAAAUCUCUAAGAAAUUUUUUUGGAAUACAGAAAAUGCAAGGAUUUGAAUACAUUUCAAUUUUUCAGCACAGUUUCCUAGGUGUUUCCAACAAGAAGCGCAAUAGAAAGCUGGGCAGUCUGGGCUUCGAUUGCAGAUUUUAUAUUCUUCUUCUUUUGAAAAGAUCUUCAAAACUCCGUUGGUAGAUCCUUGACAGCCGCACAAAAGGCAACAACGGUGGAAACAACCCAACCAAUUAAGUGUCUUGACCAAUCUGCUGCCAUUGCUGAUUGUUUCGGCGACGUUUCUGUUUUCAUCCAACCUUCCGGGAAUAUGGUGCUGCAUGCUGGCUUUCAGGGCUUGCCUUCGACGAAGCAUCUCGCUAUAAAGAGGAAAACAAAUUACAAACGUCCGUCAAUUUGACCUUGUCGACAUGAUCCGCAACAUCCAACCCGAUUUUCUUAACUUCGUUGAUUACAUUUUCACCAACGUUGGUAAUAAUAUCGGGCUGUCCAUUUUCGUCUGGCAAUUACCAUUUACCGAUGUCAUUGUCUCCCGGCAUCGAUUCAUUUGAAGAUUGAGGUCGUUGAGAGUCGAAUCGAAUGAAUCUGAAGUCUUCUUUAGGAAAUCAUCAAAGGAAUCAAUUGAGUGCUGGACUGAUUCGACCAAAUUUACAUAAUUGGCCAAGCUAUCUCCUACUUGUGUGCUCAUAUCUCUCAUCGAUUCUGUGUAGCGUUCCGAUGCCAAUCUUGUUUGAUUAAAGGCUGCUUCUCCGAAACAAAUCAGUGACUGAGUCGUCUGUUUAAAGUUGUAAUUCAAAUUAGCGGCCGGUCCGGCUAAGAGCAUGCUUGCCAACAAGGCCAAUAGAGAAGAUUUCCCUAAUCGCGUUCCUAACGAAGGAAUGAGCAGGGAUACAAUGCAGCGAGCUGAUUGAGAAAAUGCCAAUAGGAUUGAAAUUCCAAUAGCAACAACUCCACCAGUGAUUCCGGCCACCCUGUCUUCGAUGUUGUGGCGAUAGUGCAGUAAGAAAAAGAAAACUGUUCCAACCAACAAAGAUUUGGUGUGAGAUGCGGAAGGCGUCCAACUUAUAUACUGCUGACCUUGCCUUACUUCCAAUGCUGCGUCAUCGUUUGGUAGAAUCGGAACUUCCGCUUGAGCUUCCGUUUGCGACGUCAUGGGAAUUUUUUCUGCAGCAGAAAUCUCUUUUAUUGAUGCUUUUUUGCAGGACACUAAUGCGCUUCAAUCUGUCACUCUAAUCCAAUCGUUUGAAACUGCAUGGGUGACUAAACAUUUCUGAAUAGACUUUCGUUAUCUUCAA